ensembl:misc_RNA
CUGACAGCUGUGGAGGCUGAAGACCUCUAUUUGUCCACAAAACAGAUACAGUAAAAGCAGGAGCAAUGAGAGUUUCUUCAGCCAGCCUUCCCAAGGAGUCCCAAGCCUGUUUUGCAGGGAGUGCGCCUGGGUGUAGGACAGCAGCACAGUGCCCCAAGCCCCUUCUGCAACUACU